UAUGUUUUCCACUAGACAGAAAGAGAAGUCAUCUAUCCGGUUUUCUAUUGGGGGCCAUUGCUCCUCACAAUGCCCACCAUUUUGUGACAAUUGAGCCAUUUCUUGUUGCAUUGUUGUUGAAGGUUGUGAGAUCUAGCAUGCAGGAAGAGCUGGAGACGGCACAGAAAACACCUGCGUGUGACUCGUUCCAACGCCUGAGUUGAGGAAGGAGGUCUGUUUACUGGCCUUUGUGAGGGAGGUUUCCCACCAUGCCUGAGGAACGUUGAAAUAGUGGAGACCUGAAUCUGUUCCUUACCAAAGAAUGCAACGUGUGUGGUGACAGAUUUUCAAGUCUCCUGGACUCUCCACCUCGAGCACUUGGGUAGCAGGGUUUUCCUGAUUCGGGUUUCUUGGAUGUGGAAAAAGAGACAGACAACGAGAUCAUUGGCUACCGUCCAGAAGUCAGUAAAAGUGAGCGUCCUUGGGAGUCUCGCUUUUGCGGCCUGUGUAGAGCCAGGCACACCGCUACCGAUUCUGCUAGUUGGACCAGGCCAGGAGGGCCCUCCCGACUAGGAACGUGCCGCUGGCAGGAUGAUAAACUGAAGCCUUCCAGGCAGCUGCGUUGCGUACAGGGACUUUGCUGCGGGCCCAGUAAGCUGCCGAGAUUCCGUGCUCGUAUAUGUAUGGUGAGUACAAGGCUGCUAUCUGGAGCAGACGGUCGGUCCGGAACCCACAAGCAACCAGGUCGAGCCACGUUUAGUCCAGUGACUCCACGAGGCAUAAUCAGGUAUUGCCAGUAAUUCAACUCAAAGUUCUGGGCCCGGAGGAACUAAUGGCAGGGCCUGCUGUAAGGCAGUUGAUUAAGCUUCUCCCCAGUGGAAAGAGGCUGAUUUGCUUGCAGCGGCAUAAAUGGGCCUCAGGAGACUGGAGAGGCGUGGAGUGUGUUGUCCCCCAAAGGUGAAAAGGCCUCGCAUGUGCUGUGCCUGCCGAAGUGUAGCAGGAGGCUUGACGGUGAGCGGUUGGUAUUUUCCAGAGAGAUCGACUCCGCAGCCCUCAGCUGACUGCACUCUGCCAAGAAACUUGACAGAAGUGGCCAGUCCUUGGACCUUACACGGGGCAACCGCAGUCCUCUGUGCUGUGAACGUUGUGUCACUAGAUAAGAGUCUUCCUGUGUGGCAUUCUCAGAGGGCCCCCAUAGUAGAAUGUCAUCUAUAUGAUGUCAGAGGCGGCAGUGGGUUAGUUUGAGUGGAUCUGGAUCUUGUCUGCAGAGGCUAGAGGCUAUAUCUGAUGGGGGGCUAUUCAGCUCCUCCAUGGACAGCCAAGGAAAGGUAUAUCGGAUGCCCCUGGAAGUGAAAGAAAAUUGAAGUUGUCUUCAGUCUUCAGUCAUUGGAACCCAAUAAAACAUGUUGGCUACAGCUAGGACAGCAGGGAGAGGCCCUGAGCCUUUGCAGACCACCUAUUAUCUCUACAAUAUUGGGAAGGGGAAGCCUUAAUGGCAGGAGCUGGUGCAUUUAAAUUUUGAUCGUCACUUGUUAGUCUCUAUUCAUUGGUGGUCAAUUUUAACACCGUCCACGGCUCUUAAAGGGUGAGAUGGUAGGGCUAAUGACCCCGGGGUCAAGCAUGUCUCUAAGGAAAGGGCCAAAGUCCUUCUGUACUUUGCUUCAGCCAAUAUGUUGGUGUAUUUAACAUUUUCACUACAGGAGGCAAUUGGACGGGUUCUCGUUGGGCAGCUCUCCAGAGAAAGGCCAGGAAUUUGGGUUUAUUCCCAGGUGUGUCACUGAGCGAGGGCAUUGGUACUUCUGAUAGGAAAAAACAAGAGAGCUAGGGGGCCACCACCAUUGGCAACUGUUCUAGAAAUACGGUGCCAAUAGACACAUCUAGAUUAAUAUUCACUCCCUUUAGAGUUUCAGCUGCCAUGCCUUGUAGACUGUAGGGUCGCUGCGGGAACUGAGAAGGGUUACCUGGAAUUGUCCUGACUUGAGCUCCUAUGUCUAAUAGGACCAGUCGAUAUAUAAAUGGGUGACUGUCCUUAGGAGGCGGGGCAAGCUCCAGGGAGCCACCAGGUCCCUAGGGUAAUGCCCUGGGGAACUGAUGGCUGCAGUUGGGGAAGUUGUUUGGGAGCAGAGGGGGCCUUGAGAUCUUGGGCCAUUGAAGUUGGCCUCUGUUAGUGAGAUCAUUGCUUGUUUUAGGGAGAGGAAUUUGCACCAGGGCUACUGUGGGUCAAGGUCAUCAGAGACCAAUUGGCAGAACUGCCAGUAUAGGGCACUGUGCUGUUAAGAAUCAUUUUAAGGGUCGCUUCCCAAUAGGCUUAGCAUGGGGCUCAGGGACCAGGAGGUGGGAAGGGUGUUCUGCAAGGAGUGUUGCAGGGCCCGGCACCCAAGGGCUGGCAUUGGGGUUGUGGGCUGUCUAGGCCCACACCUGGGAGUCUGUGUGAAUAUCUCCUUCAUAGCUGACCCCCAUGUAUGUUCCCUCCAGGGCUUCCUGAAUCGUAUAGGAGGCCCCAUGAAGUAAAGGAGUCCAGACUUGUAAUUGGGGUGGGGGGUCCCUACAAGGAGAAUUCUCUGGAUUUGGGGUCGAUUUGGGGCCUCUUUGGAAUUAGAUAUAAAAUCCAGAUCAUUUGGGUUGCUACAUUUAAAGAAAAUGAGAGGGGUGUCUGGGUGGCUCAGUCAGUUAAACGUCCGACUCCUGAUUUCGGCUCAGGUCGUGAUGUCGG